AGCCAGACUCCUACGGGAGGCAGCAGUGGGGAAUAUUGCACAAUGGGGGAAACCCUGAUGCAGCGACGCCGCGUGAGCGAUGAAGUAUUUCGGUAUGUAAAGCUCUAUCAGCAGGGAAGAAAAUGACGGUACCUGACUAAGAAGCCCCGGCUAACUACGUGCCAGCAGCCGCGGUAAUACGUAGGGGGCAAGCGUUAUCCGGAUUUACUGGGUGUAAAGGGAGCGUAGACGGCAAUGCAAGCCAGAUGUGAAAGCCCGGGGCUCAACCCCGGGACUGCAUUUGGAACUGUGUAGCUGGAGUGUCGGAGAGGCAGGCGGAAUUCCUAGUGUAGCGGUGAAAUGCGUAGAUAUUAGGAGGAACACCAGUGGCGAAGGCGGCCUGCUGGACGAUGACUGACGUUGAGGCUCGAAAGCGUGGGGAGCAAACAGGAUUAGAUACCCGCGUA
rnacentral:rRNA from 1 species